CAAAAAACCUAUAUAUUAGCAUUCAUUCUAGAGCUGUUCAGCACUUCUCACUGAAAGGCUGAAGCUACUGAGAUAAACAUAAACAUCACUAUGAAGCUACUGGUUGUGUCUGCACUUUUUGCAAUGAUGGCUCUGAUCACUGCUGCUGAAAAAGGAGGCAAAAGUGUGUCAGCGGAUAAUCCACCUGAGGAGCAUCUUGUUGAAAAGAGAUGGUACAAGUAUCGGGGCUGGACUAGGUAUGGCAACCGAUACUUCCGCUAUUUUCCCUAUCGCUUGGAUUGGCUCAUGCUCAGAGAUACUGUCAGUCCAUGCAUGCAAACCUGGCAUCUGUACGUAGCCUUCGAGAGUACCGGGUGAUUCAAAGGGUUAUAUAUCGUGCUACUCACCGUUACCCACUUACAUGGCUUGGAGGCUCUGAUGCUCAAAAGGAGCAUCAUUGGUUUUGGAUCGAUGGAACUCCGUUCAGAUUUACAUACUGGUGUCGUGGAGAGCCUAACAAUGCUCGCCACAACGAGCACUGCCUACACAUGAACAAUACAGGAUACAGGUGUAUGAAUGAUAUAUACUGUCACUACCGAUACCCAUUUGUCUGCGUCUGGAAAAGAAGAUGAUUCCUGGUCUACCAUGAAAUGUUUGGUUCAUCAGACAAAGAAGCAAAUAAUCUCAUACAACCCCCUGAACCGUUUUCCAUUUUACAUUUAUAAUUCUUUUCUUUUGCUGUAAUGCUACAUAAUGAAUAAAGCAAGUUGGACUGUUUCUUUUAAUAGCAAUGGCUAUUAAUUGCAAACUGAAGGUGUAAUGGAAAGAAUGCUUUUAGCAAAAGUUAAUUUCCCAUAAUUAACUUUUCUUAUUAUCUUCAUCAAUAAACUCUUCAGCAUUAAAUCUGA